UACCACCACCACCACUACCACCAUUAACACCACUAUCACCAUCAUUACCAUCAACACCACUAUCUCCAUAACGGGAGCCCCUACAAAACUUUGGAUUUUGUUCUAAAUGAGCUGAGGACAGAGCCUUUUGUCUCUUGGGUGUUCUGUGCAGCAUACUAGUCUGUGUUCUGUUCACUGAGUGCUUAACCACUUCUAAUUGAUAAUAAUCAUCCUGGUAAUAUUCAGUACAAAGGCAACCUAGAAUUCUAAAAUUAUUUUAGGAAUGAAUUUAUUUUUUUUUGCCCAUACUUAAAUGCAGCUACUAAACAUAUUUACAUGGCUUAAAAAAUAUUGGAGGAAAGUAUUUGCUCUCCAAAAAAUAUAUUUGAGAGCAAGUGAGCUCUUAAAAUUAUAAAUGGAAACAUUCUCUGGAAUUGUUUGAAUAAUAAUACUGUUUUUACAUAAUUGUAUUAAGAUCUAAACACAGCUAAUGAAAGGUUGAGAGAAAGAUGGCAAUAGUAAGAUUUAAAAAAAUUACAGUUCAAAGUGAAGGCUUGGUUUCAAGCCAUUAUGUUUUCAUAAAUAAAUUCUGAUGUGGGCACACAACUAUGAAUACAAACUUCGAGAUAUUCUUAAUGGUCUUUUAAAAAUUAUAUAUGGUGACGAAAAUACCUUAUGUCAACAUUUCCUCUUUGUCUUCAUUGUAUAUUAUGUAUAUUAGAGCAACUAUAAUUAAAUCUUUUUUAUCUAAAUCUGGAGUUGAGUGAGUAACAUAGGGCUGGUUUCCAUCUCGUCACGAUGCAUGAACCAAGGCAUAAAGCAUCAUGACUUCAAAAGCCUACAGAGACCUGGCAGUUGUUUUACAUUAUAUAUUCAGAAGAGUGAACUAAGAACAGGAAAGCCUUUAUAGGACACCUCCUUCACUUCUAAGAUAGAAACAAGGAAUCAUGACAGUGCCCCAAGAACAAGUGGAUCAUGGGCAGGACGCCACACUGCAGUGAAUCGGCAGAACUGGAUUCUCCUCAUCUUGACUCUGUAAAUCACUCACAGUGGGAGCCUAACAUCUCUGAUUGCCAGUUUUGUCUUCUUUAAAAUAAGAAAUUAUACUAAAUGAGCAAUGUCUCUUC